UACGAAGGGGGCUAGCGUUGCCCGGAAUUACUGGGCGUAAAGGGCUCGUAGGCGGCCAACUAAGUCAGACGUGAAAUCCCUCGGCUUAACCGGGGAACUGCCUUUGAUACUGGAGAGCUUGAGUCCGGGAGAGGUGAGUGGAACUCCGAGUGUAGAGGUGAAAUUCGUAGAUAUUCGGAAGAACACCAGUGGCGAAGGCGGCUCACUGGCCCGGUACUGACGCUGAUGUGCGAAAGCGUGGGGAGCAAACAGG
rnacentral:rRNA from 1 species